AUUGAACGCUGGCGGCAGGCCUAACACAUGCAAGUCGAGCGAGCGGCGGACGGGUGAGUAAUGUAUGGGGACUGCCCGAUAGAGGGGGAUAACUACUGGAAACGGUAGCUAAUACCGCAUACUAUCGGAUAACCCAUAUGGGAUUAGCUAGUAGGUGAGGUAAUGGCUCACCUAGGCGACGAUCCCUAGCUGGUCUGAGAGGAUGAUCAGGCACACGGGGACUGGGACACGACCAAGAAUCGUACGGAGGCAGCAGUAGGGAAUAGUGCACAAGGGGCGCAAGCCUGAUGCAGCCAGGCGGCGUGUAUGAAGAAGGCCCGAGGGGGGUAAAGGACUUUCAGUCGGGAGGCGUUACAGACAGAAGAAGCACCGGCUAACUCCGUGCCAGCAGCAGCGGUAAUUC
rnacentral:rRNA from 1 species